GUAUCUUCUCCUACAUGUACUAAAAUUGGAACGAUACAGAGAAGAUUUGCAUGCCUCUUGCGCAAGGAUGAAAUGCAAAAUCGUGAAGCGUUCCACAUUUUU
rnacentral:snRNA from 1 species